GAUGAAGAACGUAGCGAAAUGCGAUAAGUAAUGUGAAUUGCAGAAUUCAGUGAAUCAUCGAAUCUUUGAACGCACAUUGCGCCCCUUGGUAUUCCGAGGGGCAUGCCUGUUCGAGCGGCAUUAUAACCCUCAAGCUCAGCUUGGUGUUGGGGCCUGCUGCAGUGGCAGCCCUUAAAAUCAGUGGCGGCGCCAUCUGGCUCUAAGCGUAGUAAUUCUUCUCGCUAUGGAGUCCUGGUGGAUGCUUGCCAUCAACCCCCAAUUUUUCUAUGGUUGACCUCGGAUCAGGUAGGGAUACCCGCUGAACUUAAGCAUAUCAAUAAGCGGAGGA
rnacentral:misc_RNA from 1 species